CUGCAAAUCACUUGAGGAUCAUAUUAAAAUGCAGACCCUGAUUUAGCGGGUCUGAAGUGUGGCCUAGGAUUUUGCCUUUUUAACAAGCUUUCAGGUGAUGUUGAU
rnacentral:miRNA from 1 species